rnacentral:rRNA from 1 species
CAAUAGCGUAUAUUAAAGCUGUUGCGGUUAAAAAGCUCGUAGUUGGAUUUCUGUCAAGGACAACUGGUCCGCCCCUCGGGUGAGCACAUAGUUUGGUCUUGGCAUCUUGUUGGAAACUGUUGCUGCACUUGGUUGUGUGGCGCAGUGUCCAGCACUUUCACUUUGAGGAAAUUGGAGUGUUUCAAGCAGGCACAUGCCUUUGGACACAGUAGCAUGGAAUAAUUAGAUUGGGCUUUUGCUCCAGCUUGUCGGUUUCUGGAGCUGAGGUGAGAAUUAAUGGGGAUUGUUGGGGGCAUCCGAAUUUAGCCGUCAGAGGUGAAAUUCUUGGAUCUGCUAAAGACGGACAACUGCGAAAGCGUUUGCCCAGGAUGUUUUCAUUGA